UACGAAGGGGGCUAGCGUUGUUCGGAAUUACUGGGCGUAAAGCGCACGUAGGCGGACAUUUAAGUUGGAGGUGAAAGCCUUGGGCUCAACCCAAGAAUUGCCUUUGAUACUGGAUGUCUCGAGACCGGGAGAGGUGAGUGGGAAUUCCGAGUGUAGAGGUGAAAUUCGUAGAUAUUCGGAAGAACACCAGUGGCGAAGGCGGCUCACUGGCCCGGUUCUGACGCUGAGGUGCGAAAGCGUGGGGAGCAAACAGGG
rnacentral:rRNA from 1 species